rnacentral:lncRNA from 1 species
CAUUUUCUAACUUUUGUCUAUAAAUGAGCCAUAGUUUAUCCUAAAUGGACAGUAAUAUUAUUUUAUGCCUUUCAUUCUUUGCGGCUGAACUCUUCUCCACCCAAUCCUUGGUAUUGUGCGCCAUCUCCUGAUAGAAAUUGUACUUACACCAUGCAUACGUUUAGAGGUUUAGGGUUGAACUGGGAUGAGGAUAUGAAGUUAGGUUUGAGGCUAGGGUUAGAGUUGAACUGAGAUGUGGAUAUGAAGUUAGGGUUGAGGCUAGGGUUAGAGUUGAACUGAGAUGUGGAUAUGAAGUUAGGGUUGAGGCUAGGGUUAGAGUUGAACUGGGAUGUGGAUAUGAAGUUAGGGUUGAGGCUAGGGUUAGAGUUGAACUGGGAUGUGGAUAUGAAGUUAGGGUUGAGGCUAGGGUUAGAGUUGAACUGGGAUGUGGAUAUGAAGUUAGGGUUGAGGCUAGGGUUGAACUGAGAUGUGGAUAUGAAGUUAGGGUUGAGGCUAGGGUUAGGGUUCAACUGAGAUGUGGAUAUGAAGUUAGGGUUGAGGCUAGGGUUAGGGUUGAACUGGGAUGUGAAGUUAGGGUUGAGGCUAGGGUUAGGCUUGAACUGAGAUGUAGAUGUGGCGAUGGAUAUGAAUUUAGGGUUGAGGCUAGGCUUAGGGUUGGGGUUGAACUGGGAUGUAGAUAUGAAGUUAGGUUUGAGGCUAGGGUUAGAAUUGAACUGAGAUGUGGAUAUGAAGUUAGGGUUGAGGCUAGGGUUAGGGUUCAACUGAGAUGUGGAUAUGAAGUUAGGUUUGAUGCUAGGGUUAGAAUUGAACUGAGAUGUGGAUAUGAAGUUAGGGUUGAGGCUAGGGUUAGAGUUGAACUGGGAUGUGGAUAUGAAGUUAGGGUUGAGGCUAGGGUUGAACUGAGAUGUGGAUAUGAAGUUAGGGUUGAGGCUAGGGUUAGGGUUGAACUGGGAUGUGGAUGUGAAGUUAGGCUUGAGGCUAGGGUUAGGCUUGAACUGGGAUGUGGAUAUGAAGUUAGUUUGAGGCUAGGGUUAGGGUUGAACUGAGAAGUGGAAAUAAAGUUAGGGUUAGGGUAGGAUCCAACCGCCCUCUGUUUCGGUGAAAGCUGAAGGAUGGGCCUGGAAAAUU